ensembl:lncRNA
UGAUGUGAGCUGUGUAGAGAGGUUGUCUCUGUCACAAUAAAAGUUCACUGAUUCCCCAUCUGCAGCAGGUGUCCGGUUGUCUUCAUUCUCCGCCAGCCUGGCUAAGUCAAUUCCUCCUUAACAUCUAAAAGAACCUAUUUAAUGAAGGAAGACGGGUUCACUUUGUGUUUAAUAUUAUUCUAUUGCUGUUGUUGUUUUUUUAUAUCCUUCAAUUGGCGUCACGGAACAGGAUCCGCUCCAGGGCAACUGGAACGGAUGGGAGGAAAUCGGCCGUGGUCUGAGUGAACGGAGUUUGGACAAAAGCUGUGUGCACACAAAAACAAGGUUGUUGCUCUUUAACUCCUAGAACACGCCCUUGGCGAGGUGGGGGGAACUGGACCACCUUUCUGUGCCCCAUCAUCCUCUAUUAGACGACAUCCAAGCUAAGUAAACAUGUCUUGGCCCUUUCCCCCUGAAAUGACAGGCAGGCAAAGAUGUUGCGUCUUUGUUUGCUUCCUGGCCCUGGGUCUCAUUCCCAUUGGCAUAAUCCUGAUCUGUGAAGGGCCCCCGACACUUCUGACACCUUCAAGUUCAAAAGCUUCGCCCCCUUCUGACAGUCCCAAUCUGACAAAUGUAGCCCCUAGGGUCUUGCCCACCACUUCCUCUCCAGUUUUGCCCACGCCCGAUCCAUUUAGAAAGAAACGAGACACGGUUACCUCCUCGCCAACGGAUGAUGAAAACUCUGAUCGACAGCUGUUACUGCUUUCAUCGGGAACCGAGACUGCUUGCAGCCGACCCCUGGGCAGGGUGGUGCCUGGACUCUUUUCUCCUCAUCUGCAAUGACAGAUAAAGACAAAUGAUAAGACCCGAGGAGUUUUUCGAGCCAGGCUUCGACACGUCUCUGUGUUCCUUUGAAUGUUACUUAUUUUUUGUGUGUUGACCCAUUUAAGAUGGGUCAAAAGGGGGAUUUGAAGAAAAUAUAAUCUGAUCAAACAUUAUUCAGCUUUAAAUAUUGUUCAGCUUUAAAGUUACUGUGCAACUGUGUAAUAAAAAUGUGCUCACGACUUUGGCCUUGAGAGCGAUAAGAAGCGAUCGCCUCAUUCUGCAGGUGCAAGAUAUCUGCAAGCGAAGAGACUAGAACACCCAAGGCCGCUUUCCUUUUAUGGAGUUGUUUUUCUGCUAAUGCAGCACUGUCCUCACAACCCCCUCCUGUAAGUUUUAGAGAAUAUAUACCCAUCCUCACAGCAAAUAUGGGGAAUCUCCUGAUGUGAGCUGUGUAGAGAGGUUGUCUCUGUCACAAUAAAAGUUCACUGAUUCCCCAUCUGCAGCAGGUGUCCGGUUGUCUUCAUUCUCCGCCAGCCUGGCUAAGUCAAUUCCUCCUUAACAUCUAAAAGAACCUAUUUAAUGAAGGAAGACGGGUUCACUUUGUGUUUAAUAUUAUUCUAUUGCUGUUGUUGUUUUUUUAU